ensembl:snRNA U6 U6 spliceosomal RNA
GUGCUUGGUCUGGCAACCCAUGUAAUAAAAUUGGAACCAUAUACAAAGAAGAUUCACAUUGCCCCUGCACAAGGAUAACACAAACUGGUGAAUCAGUUGAUACUUUU